UGGGGAAUUUUGGACAAUGGGCGAAAGCCUGAUCCAGCAAUGCCGCGUGUGUGAAGAAGGCCUUCGGGUUGUAAAGCACUUUUGUCCGGAAAGAAAUCCUUGGCUCUAAUACAGUCGGGGGAUGACGGUACCGGAAGAAUAAGCACCGGCUAACUACGUGCCAGCAGCCGCGGUAAUACGUAGGGUGCAAGCGUUAAUCGGAAUUACUGGGCGUAAAGCGUGCGCAGGCGGUUUGCUAAGACCGAUGUGAAAUCCCCGGGCUCAACCUGGGAACUGCAUUGGUGACUGGCAGGCUAGAGUAUGGCAGAGGGGGGUAGAAUUCCACGUGUAGCAGUGAAAUGCGUAGAGAUGUGGAGGAAUACCGAUGGCGAAGGCAGCCCCCUGGGCCAAAUACUGACGCUCAUGCACGAAAGCGUGGGGAGCAAACAGGAUUAGAUACCCUGGUAGUCCACGCCCUAAACGAUGUCAACUAGUUGUUGGGGAUUCAUUUCCUUAGUAACGUAGCUAACGCGUGAAGUUGACCGCCUGGGGAGUACGGUCGCAAGAUUAAAACUUAAAUGAAUUGACGGGGUCAUAGCUGUUUCCU
rnacentral:rRNA from 1 species